GAAUGGCAUGUGUAGGUUGAUUGCUUGACUUGUGCUAUUUGCUAAAAUCUGCCAACAACUAAAAUUGGAAAAAGUGAUAGAUUUUUAUUUGGUCAAGUAGUUUAAUCACCCCCUCUAUCCACCCCAGCUCACGAGGAAGCCUCGGGGGGAGGCGAUCCCUCGUCGUGAGGAAGCCGCGGAAGGAGGUGCUCAACCGGGCAUCCUCGGUCGGAGAAGGAGGAGAGGCGCGGAUGCCAGCCAGGGAGGCGGAUCGGCUCGCCUCCGCGGUGUCGUGAGCGUCGCUGCCGCCUCUGCAUCCAGUUUGCUCCGCAUAGGAGCAUGUGUGCAGAAGUGAGACAUGCGACCACGAGAAGAUGGCGUCGGCGGCAAUGGCAACACGCAUGGUGCGUUAAGUCUGAUAAGAUGGGUGCGGCCUCCCGGCAUGCGUUUCAGGAUGGCGUGCCCAAUGGCUCGGAACGCACCCACCCGGUGCACAUGAGGUAUGCCUCGGAGCACGCUGGCAGUAACGUGCACCACGAGGUCGUGGAGCAACCCAGCCAGAGCCCCUUCAUACUGGAGGAACCAUACAACUCCAUCCUCACCUCCACUCACAGAUAAUCCCCUUCCCCUCUGUGCCCUCUCUUUCCUCUGAACUAUCUCUUUUUAGAGACCCUCUCUCUGUUACACUUUUGCAUGAAAAAACAGAAGUAAGAGGAAAACUUACUUUGGGUUCAUAUGGUGCAGAUUAACAACAAAAUGAUUGUUAAUGAAAGGUUUGAGUGCAGGUAUACUCAAAUCGACGUCUUCUAUCUAAUUGGUUGGAUAACUACUUUUCAGGUCUGCCGAUUUCCACGAUAACACUGCCUCAACUUUCUCAUUUCCCCAGCUCUGUAUACAGGGUACAAACAAGAUGUAUUCAGGCCGGGUUUCCGUGUUCCAAAAAAAGCGUGUGGCACUAGCUUUCUUAUUACAUAUGAAGUACAAAACUAAAUGUGGAGAAGUAUAUAUGUUCAUUAUUUGGGUUGUGCGUUGGAUGUUUUGGCUGGUGUAGGGGUUAUUCUAUCUCACCAUUUCUGGUUGGACGUGGAGCACAUCUAGGAGGCAUCCAGAAUGUCUUGAUUAUGAAGAAGAAGAGGGCCUCUCAGUCUUUAACCCUGACUAUAAAAAUCCAUUGAUGGAAGGCGGGGAAGGCCGAGUUGAACAUCCGGCUCCCCUGGUCUAUCCAUCGAGAAGGUAGAGAGAUGAUGUUUCCAUGUCACCUAGUAUAGCAGAUGGACGGGCGGAUAAAAACCAUGGAUUCCUGCUCCCCAGGUCACCAAAGGAUCAUAGUGAUGUCUUCUACCUCCUCCUAAGAUGUAUUAAUCUCAAUCUGAUGUUAGUUGUGGUCUUAUUCUUUUUUCUCUUCUCAUGAUGUUUGUUGUAAUGACUUACUUGAUGUAAGAUCCCUUUUCUACUGUAUAUAUUUCUUAUUUAGUUUAGUUCAUCAUUCAAAGAUGGUAUGUUAUUUUUGGUCCUUCACAGGUUAAAAUGGCCAUUGUGUAAAAGUC